rnacentral:rRNA from 1 species
UACGAAGGGUGCUAGCGUUGUUCGGAAUUACUGGGCGUAAAGGGCGCGUAGGCGGUACUUCAAGUCAGGCGUGAAAGCCCCGGGCUCAACCUGGGAACCGCGCUUGAGACUGGAGAACUAGAGUUCGGGAGAGGAUGGUGGAAUUCCCAGUGUAGAGGUGAAAUUCGUAGAUAUUGGGAAGAACACCGAUGGCGAAGGCAGCCAUCUGGACCGACACUGACGCUGAGGCGCGAAAGCGUGGGGAGCAAACAGG